CACAAGCGGUGGAGUAUGCUGUUUAAUUCGAAGAUACACGAAGAACCUUUACCAGGGUCUUGACAUACCAUUGACAGGUGUAGAGAUACACUCUCCUUCGGGCAAUGGAUACAGGUGGUGCAUGGUUGUCGUCAGCUCGUGCCGUGAGGUGUUGGGUUAAGUCCCGCAACGAGCGCAAACCCCUGUGGUUAGUUGCCAGCAAGUAGCGUUGGGCACUCUAGCCAGACUGCCGGUGAUAAAUCGGAGGAAGGUGGGGACGACGUCAAAUCAUCAUGCCCUUUAUGUCCUGGGCUACACACGUACUACAAUGGCCGUUACAACGGGAAGCGAAGGAGCAAUCCGGAGCAAAUCCCUUAAAGGCGGUCCCAGUUCAGAUUGUGGGCUGAAGCUCGCCCACAUGAAGGCGGAAUUGCUAGUAAUUGCAGAUCAGCAUGCUGCAGUGAAUACGUUCCCGGGCCUU
rnacentral:rRNA from 1 species